rnacentral:RNase_P_RNA from 1 species
CGAGUCGGUCGGGCGGCCGCGUCGGUGCGGGCCGCGAGGUCCGCCCGCCGAGGAACGUCCGGGCUCCGUAGGGCAAGGUGGUGGGUAACGCCCACCCGGGGCGACCCGCGGGACAGUGCCACAGAGAACAGACCGCCCGUCCUGGCUCCGGCCGGGUCGGGUAAGGGUGAAACGGUGGUGUAAGAGACCACCAGCGGGCCGGGUGACCGGUCCGGCUCGGUAAACCCCACCUGGAGCAAGGUCAGACAGGGAGCGUUCGAGGGCUGCUCGCCCGAGCUCCCGGGUAGACCGCUGGAGGCGUGCGGCAACGUACGUCGUAGAUGGAUGGCCGUCACCCGCGCGGGGGCAACCGCGCGCGGGGACAGAACCCGGCGUACAGACCGACUCGUCCG